rnacentral:rRNA from 1 species
UACGGAGGGUGCAAGCGUUGUCCGGAAUCACUGGGCGUAAAGGGCGCGUAGGCGGCUCGGUAAGUCGGGGGUGAAAUCCUGCGGCUCAACCGCAGGGCUGCCUUCUAAACUGUCGAGCUCGAGCACGGUAGAGGCAGAUGGAAUUCCCGGUGUAGCGGUGGAAUGCGUAGAGAUCGGGAAGAACAUCGGUGGCGAAGGCGGCCUGCUGGGCUCUUGCUGACACUGAGGCGCGACAGCGUGGGGAGCAAACAGG